CCUGCCCAUGCGCUUGCCUGCCAAGGACACAAAUCUCCCGCAUUCUUCAGGACUAGCUCUGGCAGACUUACUCUCGGCCACCAUGGAGCUCUUUCUCCUGGGACUUGGGUGGCGAUGACAGUCAGGAAUCACAAUUGGGGGUAGGCCUGUCUCUCCAGCUAGACCACAGCCAGGGCUCCAGACGCCUAUGGAGGUCAACAGAACACGAGCCAUGUGAUCCCAGCCUUUUCAAGGAAAAAUCAGAUUUUCAGAAAAAAAAAAAAUCCCAUCACAUAGCCAGAAAUUCCCAUGACACAUUUUGGGGCCUUAUCUCAGCUCUUGGCCUGCUUGGGA